GAGCAAGCCUCCGAUAUUUUGGUCCCCUGAACCCACCUUUUAAAUGCUUAUUCUGUCUCUUUCUAACUCCUUUGUCUCCAUCGGAUUUGGAGUACCCACUGGGUGGUGUGGGGCUGGUUUCCCCAACAUCUGGCGCCCAACAUGGGGCUCCCCGUAAUCUCUACAAAUAAUCUGGUGAAGAAACGCCAGAGCGUGGAAAGUGGAGGAUGACUGACAAAGGUUGCCCGAGUACAUUUUCACUUCAGGCUCUAUGAGAGAGAAUCAGCUUCCUGUCUGGGUACCCACAAGACAUCUUAAGCUGUGCCAUGAGCCAGAAUCCAAAGAAGAGGAAAAGACCUCGGAACAUCCCUGCACCCCCAGUUCAUCAGAUGGCUCAGAUGAACAUCUCUGUUGAGCAGAUGGAAACCAGUAAAACUCGCCAAGCAACUCCACUGACCUGGGGGCAGAUGAAGAGACUAGCUCACAUUGCAAAAGAGAAUCUGAGGUCUUAGAACAAGCCACUGAGCACCAGUAAUCUAAUGAUGGUUGCUCAGCUCAGAAAUCUUAGAGAAAUUCUGAUGCCUCUCCUCACAUUUGCUCUGUCAGCAAAUCCUGGUGUCACAGGAGGGCUCAGGAGGGUUUCUGGAUGCCAGUGAGACCCCAGCCACAGCUUCUUGUCAAGAAUCCCCAGAUUCUUGACAUCAUCACAAGAAAGAAUUCACAGAUGGUGCACAAGAAGGCUCUCGCCAGAUGCUGGUCUUGUGAUCUUGGACUUCCCAGCCUCCAGAACUUUCCACUGCACCUCUGAAAGUACUCAGCUGUGCUCCAAACCUGGAGAAUGCCACAUUUCUCCAGACUGCAAGAAACAGUGUGGAUGACUCAGUGGAGAUCAUAAUGACAUCUGGGUGAUCAACCACAGCCUCCAGUUGCCACUUGGUGAGAGAACAAAGGAAUUGGGGCAUGCUCAGCUAUGGCUGCAAGCCCUUCAAGUGAAGCUGGGCACUUAGCCCCUUCAUUCCAUUCUCCUCAGGAUAACAGAUUAAAAUUCCAGAAGUGUGCACCUGUUGUGUAUUCAGGAGAUUGUUUUUGUGCAUAAAGAGACCACUUGAGGCCCUGUAAGCAAAGACUAAUGGGGCUGAGUCAAAAUCUGGGAAUUCGAGGAACUAACAUACUCAAAUGAAAAUGAUUUGUGGGCAAGUACGAAUAGAAUAAAUGCCUUGGGGUUGUGAUGACAUUGCAGUUAGUGCUUUCUUGUCCUUCAGGGUCUGCUGCCAAAACAAAGCUUUUCCAGAGGGUAUUUUUAUGAGACUACAAGUUCUCGAAUGCAGGUGAAAGAGGGAGACAUCAUCACAUUGUCUUGGCACAGGGUUUGACUACUAAAAACAAGACUCAUAAUAAUAAUGGAUUUAGCAAGAUAAGAGUUUGUUUCUCUCUCACGUGAGUUUUCCAGCUAGUGUGGCAACUCAUUCUGUGAAGUCAUCAGGGGUGCAGGCUUCUCUCACCUUGGUGCUCUGCCAUCCCCAAGAUGCUGCCCCCAUCUGCAAGCACCAAGAUGGCACCCCACUGUGUCCACAUUCUAGACAUUAGGAUUGGGGAAAAGAGGAAGGGAGGGUAUGCCUCUCUUAAGGGCACAGUACAGAAGUUGCUCACAUCUCAUUGGUCAAAACUUAGUCACCUGGCCACACAAACUCAUAUCUGGGCUUUAUUCUAGGCAGCCCUGUGCCCAGCUAAAAAUUGAGGCCCUGGCUCCUGUUGAACAGGGUUUCUCAACUUGAGCACUACUGGUAUUUUGGGCCAGAUAAUUAUUUAUUGCAGGGGGCCGCCCUGUUCAUUGUAGCAUAUUUAGGAGCAUCUCUGGCCUUCACCUACAAGAUGCCAGUAGCAUCCCUCCAUCAAGUUGUGACAACCAAAUAUCUCCAGACUUUGCCAAAUGUACCCUUGGAGACAAAAUUGUCUC
rnacentral:lncRNA from 1 species